rnacentral:rRNA from 1 species
CGAGCACGCGCGUGUGGCAUAUCAAUAAGCGGAGGAAAAGAAACUAACAAGGAUUCCCUUAGUAACGGCGAGUGAAGCGGGAAGAGCUCAAACUUGAAAUCUUCAAGGUUCUACCUUGACGAAUUGUAGUUUAUAGAAGUGUUUUCUGUUAGUGGAGUGGCAAAAGUUCUUUGGAAUAGGACAUCAUAGAGGGUGAGAAUCCCGUAUUUGGUCAUUCCUCCUAGCGUUGUGAUACACUUUCAACGAGUCGGAUUGUUUGGGAAUGCAGUCCAAAAUGGGUGGUAAAUUUCAUCUAAAGCUAAAUAUUGGCGAGAGACCGAUAGCGAACAAGUACCGUGAGGGAAAGAUGAAAAGAACUUUGAAAAGAGAGUUAAACAGUACGUGAAAUUGUCAAAAGGGAAGCGUUUGACACCAGUGUUGUUUUUCCGAAAAUCAAUUACGAAUGUUUUGUUUUUGAGGAGUUAUGACUUCAUCGGCUUGCUCCUUUCUUUACGAAACUUUCUUAAUGCACUUUUCGGUUAACAAGUCAACAUCAAUUUCUUUUGUUGUAAAAGGGUCAUUGAGGAAGGUGGCUUUCACUUUCGGAUGAAAGUGUUUAUAGCCUUGUGCUUCUAGCAAUCGGAGAGAUUGAGGUCUGCAGCGUAGAUCCUUCGGGGUUAGAUACGUAGAUGCUAAGUUAUAGUUUUUAUAGACAACUUGUUGACUAUGAUUAGUCAUGUAGCUUACUCGUUGACGCUAUUUUACCUACGCUUAGGAUGUUGA